ACUGCCAUAUCACGAGACAUGCGCAAACAGCCUUCUUGCCGGCACAACACAAAUUCGUUUUGUUCGUUUUCACCACGUUUUAUCUCGAGGGCUUGAUUGCCAGUUAAAUGUGACAGAAAUAGUGUUUUAAUUUCCCAAAAAAAGAGUAAAGGUACAUAAAUAGGAGCUUUCUAUUGUUAACAUUCGGAAAAUCACAAAAAGAAGAAUUAAAGCAGUUGAAAGAAGAUGUUCAAUCUGGAUUCAAAUCGAUUGAAAAACAACUUAUUGGAAUUAAGAAGAGUAUCUUAUAUGAUUUAAAUUUGAAAUUCGAACAUCUUAUUCAAUAAAUGUCAAGCAAUCUUACUUCAGCAGAGGAGUCAAAACAAAUGGAGAUUUUGCCAACUCUACCAAAAAGGAAUAUCACCGACUUUCUCGAGUUUGAAAAUCAAUUGUGUGCCGAACAAGACUUGAAAUCUGAAUUGAAAAAAUUUAUGCGUCUUCAAUCAAAGCCAUUGUUUGUUCAUACAAAUAUGAUAUGUACGAUUUUACCAAUGAUUCUAACAAAAAAAGUCUAACUCGAAUACAGUGGAUUUAGUCGUCCCAGUAGAAAAAAACAGAAAAAAGACUUUUCAUCGACUCAGACUUUCAGUCUUUUAAAAGAAAUUCAUCUUGAGAAGUUUUCCAACGUGCCGGUACAACAAUUUAAUAAUUAUAUUACCCGCUGGUUUUCCAAUGCAGGCGAUAGAGAGGGAGGAAAAAAAGACAGAAAAUCAAACCAUCCUGCAAACUAAAGUUUUUAUGGAAGAAAAAACCGUUUCAUAUUUUUUUUACUUAAAAUUACAUACUUAAUUUAACUAAGUUUUUCAUGCAAGUUUUCACUGACGUACUAUUGUAAAA